UGGUAGACCACAUCCUAUGCCAAAAGGUGAAUUCCACCAUCACUCUGGUAUGAUCUCCAUAGGAAGUGCCUAAACUGCUGCUCGAUUUUCGCCACCACUGUUUUCAAAAUUAUGGUAUUGGACAUCAUAUAGAUCGAGACUGAGCUAAGCACCAAUCUAAUUAGAUUGAUCCUGCCCAUCAUGGAUAAGCAUCUGACCUGCCAACAUUCCAAACAUCCCCAGAUCAAUGCCUCCAUCCCACUCUUCGGGAUCUCCGUCCUAUGAUGGGCACUCUCAAGUAGUGACAAGCUCCCAUUUGCUCAAUAAUCCCUAGCUUCUCCCUGAUAGCUUGCCUCAACUGAGUCUUAGUCUUUGGAUUGAAAUAUAAGAUCGAUUUGAGCAGAUUCACCUUCUGCCCAUACCAGUGCAAUAUCUCUCUAGAAUCCUCUUGAAGAAGUUAGUGUUCCGAAUAGAUUCCCGACCUACCAAAAGGCAAUCAUCUGCAAACAAAAAAGGUGUGAGAUCGGUCUAGCUCUUUGGGCAGGCACAUAGGGAUCCAAGGCCUACUCUAGGGUGGCUAUUUGCAGGGCCCUAGACAGUGUCAGUGCACAAAUAAAGAGAUAUGGAGAUAGGGACAACCUUGACGUAGGUCCAUUAUAGACUGAAAAUAAUCCAUCUAGGUGCCAUUAACCAGUAUGGCAAAGAAGGGAGAUCCCACACAGCCCAUGAUCCAUCUAAUCCAACAC
rnacentral:lncRNA from 1 species